AGUGAACGCUGGCGGUAGGCCUAACACAUGCAAGUCGAACGGCAGCACAGUAAGAGCUUGCUCUUACGGGUGGCGAGUGGCGGACGGGUGAGGAAUACAUCGGAAUCUACUUUUUCGUGGGGGAUAACGUAGGGAAACUUACGCUAAUACCGCAUACGACCUACGGGUGAAAGCAGGGGAUCUUCGGACCUUGCGCGAUUGAAUGAGCCGAUGUCGGAUUAGCUAGUUGGCGGGGUAAAGGCCCACCAAGGCGACGAUCCGUAGCUAGUCUGAGAGGAUGAUCAGCCACACUGGAACUGAGACACGGUCCAGACUCCUACGGGAGGCAGCAGUGGGGAAUAUUGGACAAAGGGCGCAAGCCUGAUCCAGCCAUACCGCGUGGGUGAAGAAGGCCUUCGGGUUGUAAAGCCCUUUUGUUGGGAAAGAAAAGCAGCAGGUUAAUACCCCGCUGUUCUGACGGUACCCAAAGAAUAAGCAUCGGCUAACUUCGUG
rnacentral:rRNA from 1 species